GACGAACGCUGGCGGCGUGCCUAAUACAUGCAAGUAGAACGCACAGUUUAUACCGUAGCUUGCUACACCAUAGACUGUGAGUUGCGAACGGGUGAGUAACGCGUAGGUAACCUGCCUGGGAGCGGGGGAUAACUAUUGGAAACGAUAGCUAAUACCGCAUAAUAUUGAUUAUUGCAUGAUAAUUAAUUGAAAGGUGCAAUUGCACCACUACCAGAUGGACCUGCGUUGUAUUAGCUAGUAGGUGAGGUAACGGCUCACCUAGGCGACGAUACAUAGCCGACCUGAGAAGGUGAUCCGCCAACAUGGGAAUGAGAAAAGGCCCAGAAUCCUAAGGGAGGCAGGCGUAGGGAAUCUUCGGCAAUGGACGAAAGUCUGAACGAGCAACGCCGCGUGAGUGAAGAAGGGUUUCGGAUCGUAAAGCUCUGUUGUAAGAGAAGAAAGGGUGUGAGAGUGGAAAGUUCACAUUGUGACGGUAUCUUACCAGAAAGGGACGGCUAACUACGUG
rnacentral:rRNA from 1 species